AUAUUAGACGAAAUGGGAACAUCCCAUAAUAAUUAUAUAUUCUCUUAGAGAAUAUAUAACGUCAAUGAUUCGUCGUGUACGAUCCUCUGCGAGUUGUUUAUCUUCACAGCAGAUUCUGUUAAGAAGAGUUUGGAGCAUUUGUAAAAUGGGACAACAUUUUGUUAGUAUU
rnacentral:sRNA from 12 species